rnacentral:tRNA from 1 species
GGGCCCGUAGCUCAGUGGCAGAGCAACAGCCUUUUAAGCUGAUGGUCGAAGGUUCGAAUCCUUCCGGGCUCA